rnacentral:tRNA from 1 species
AAAGGGAGACCUAAUUCGGGUAUGGGAUGAAAAAAAAGUAGUCCCAACCAAGAAUCAAUCCCAAAAGGUCGGAGCGAGGCGAAAUUGGCUUUCAAACUAGGUUCUGGGUUCAAACAAGACCUGAAUCAGGAACAAGGGCUAUUAGCUCAGGUGGUUAGAGCGCACCCCUGAUAAGGGUGAGGUCCCUGGUUCGAGUCCAGGAUGGCCCACCUGCACAGGUGGCACAGAAAAGAAAAGAAGCGAGGAAUCAGCACCUUAUCUUAUCUAUAUAUAAGAGAGAAUGCUGGCUCUGAGUACAGAGUCCAGAGGAACCUUGAAAACUGCAUAGAGCUAGGUGAAAAAGCCAAAAAAGAAGACCGCAAG